AUUGAACGCUGGCGGCGUGCCUAACACAUGCAAGUCGAGCGGUAACAGGUAUAGCAAUACAUGCUGACGAGCGGCGAACGGGUGAGUAAUGCCUCGGAAUCUGCCCAAAGGUGGGGAAUAACCAGCCGAAAGGUUGGCUAAUACCGCAUACGUCCUACGGGAGAAAGCAAGGGAUCGGAAGACCUUGCGCCAAUGGAUUAGCCGAAGUCGGAUUAGCUGGUUGGUAGGGUAACGGCCUACCAAGGCGACGAUCCGUAGCAGGUCUGAGAGGACGACCAGCCACACUGGGACUGAGACACGGCCCAGACUCCUACGGGAGGCAGCAGUGGGGAAUAUUGGACAAUGGGGGAAACCCUGAUCCAGCGACGCCGCGUGUGUGAAGAAGGCCUGCGGGUUGUAAAGCACUUUUAGUGGGGAUGAAAAGUCCAGGGCUAAUACCUCUGGAUCUUGGCCUAACCCACAGAAAAAGCACCGGCUAACUCUGUGCCAGCAGCCGCUGUAACAC
rnacentral:rRNA from 1 species